ACUGUGCAGGCAAGAAUGCUGAGGCUGAGGGACAGGCCACCCUUUCCGUGGCUGAUGGAGGAGACUAUUCCAGAGUCCACAGUGAAGUUCAACACAACUGUUAAAAGCUAACAAAACAUUAAGGCCUGUGGAGGGAAUGAAGUCGGAAGAGGAGAGGCCGAUAAGAAAACCAUUCUACAGGAGCCAGGAAGGCUACAUGAAGCAACUCCAUGGCAGAUCCACUCUGUGACAGACACUGCCCCUUCUUCCUUAUGGUGUGUGAAGAAGUCUUUCAGAUUUCCUCUGGGUGGGACGGAUUGCUGGAGGCCUCCAGCCACCUGAGAAAAGCAGCUGCCUUCCUGUCGCCAUGCCAACUGCUCGGGAUUUCCCCCUUUCUUUCCCAGUCUUCCCAUCAAUGUGGGAAAGUCACGCCCCCACCCCGGUGGGGCACCAUUUCUAACUACCUUUGGCUCCUUCCCUCGCUUUUUGUGUGAGACAAGAAAACUGGCAAUGACGUUGUCUUUUCGAAUAUGAUUUUCAUUCUGUU